AUGGCCGCGGACGCCGCCGCCGCCGCCGCGGGGCCCCGCCGGUGGCGCUGCGAGGAGGAGGAGCGGCAGCCGCACCGCCUCUCGGCCGCCGCGGCGGCCGACGACCGCUUCGACGGCCUCCCCGACCCGCUGCUCCUCCUCAUCUUCAACCGCAUCGGCGACGUCAAGGCGCUCGGCCGCUGCGCGCUCGUCUCCCGCCGCUUCCACGCCCUCGUGCCCCUCGUCGACUCCGUGCUCGUCCGCGUCGACUGCGUCAUCCCCGACGACCCCGCCUCCUCCGCCUCGGGCUCCCCGUCCUCCUCCGCGCCCUCCUCCCCCACCGCCUCCGCCUCCGCCCGCGCGCGCGGCGUCUUCUCCCAGAUCGCGCGCAUGCUCAUCGGCGGCAUCGUCAAGCCCAUCCAGGCGCUCGGCCAGAUCCUCUCCCACGCCGGCUCCGCCUCCGACUUCCCGGCCUCCGCCUCCCUCUCCUCCUUCCGCCGCUCCGCCGCCUCCUCGCUCUCGUCCUCGGCGUCGGCGCCCCCCGGCGACGUCUCGCACCACUCGCCCUCCGAGGUGCUCCGCUCCUUCAAGGAGCUCCGCAGCCUGCGCAUCGAGCUCCCCGCCGGCGAGCUCGGCAUGGACGACGGCGUGCUGCUCAAGUGGAAGGCCGACUUCGGCUCCACGCUCGGCAGCUGCGUCAUCCUCGGCGCCGCCUCCGCCUCCGCCUCGCCCUCCUCUGCCGCCAAGGACGGCGCCACUGCCGCACCUCCUCCUGCGACCGCUGAUUGUGCCGAGUCUGACGAUUCAGGGAGCAUACCGGAGUCCUUCUACACCAACGGGGGGCUUAAGCUGCGGGUGCUAUGGACCAUCAGCUCGCUGAUUGCGGCGUCGGCCCGGCAUUACCUGCUGCAGCCCAUCAUUUCCGACCACGCGUUGCUGGAGAGCCUGGAUCUGACGGACGCCGAUGGGCAGGGCGUGCUCACCAUGGACAAGUGGCAACUGCAGGAGCUACGGGUCAGGCCAGUAUCAGCGUCUGGUGACUCGCACCGCACGCUCAUGCCGGCCCUUAGCAUGCGGUUGUGGUAUGCGCCACACAUUGAGCUGCCUGGGGGCACGGUCUUGAAUGGAGCAACACUGGUGGCCAUCAAGCCGAGCGAAGAGGCAAUGAUGGAUGCAGUUGGGAAUGCAACUGCUGGGUCAGCAGGUGGAUCCUGGGUUUCAGAUGCUUUUGAGGAGCCAUAUCGGACGGCCGUCGGUGUGCUUCUCAAGCGGAGGAUGUAUAGCCUUGAGAUGAACUCAUUCUAA
rnacentral:rRNA from 1 species